rnacentral:rRNA from 1 species
GAUGAACGCUGGCGGCGUGCCUAAUACAUGCAAGUCGAGCGAACGGACGAGAAGCUUGCUUCUCUGAUUUUAGCGGCGGACGGGUGAGUAACACGUGGAUAACCUACCUAUAAGACUGGGAUAACUUCGGGAAACCGGAGCUAAUACCGGAUGAUAUUUUGAACCGCAUGGUUCAAAAGUGAAAGACGGUCUUGCUGUCACUUAUAGAUGGAUCCGCGCUGCAUUAGCUAGUUGGUAAGGUAACGGCUUACCAAGGCAACGAUGCAUAGCCGACCUGAGAGGGUGGUCCGACAGCCUGGAACUGAGAAACGGUCGAGACUCCUACGGUGAGCAACGGCAGGGACUCUUCCGCGAUGGGGGAAAGCCUGACGGAGCAACGCCGCGGGAGUGAUGAAGGUCCUCGGAUCGUAAAACUAUGUAAUUAGGAAAGAACAUAUGUGUAAGUACCUGUGAACAUAUUGACGGUACCUAAUCAGAAAGCCCCGGCUAACUCCGUG